rnacentral:tRNA from 1 species
AGUGUAGCUCAGUUGGAAGAGCAUCGGUCUCCAAAACCGAGGGUCGGGGGUUCGAGUCCUCCCACU